CUUGCCGCCUCCUCUAGCCCGCCCGAGCCACAACGUCACGCGCGUAACCUGGAAGUGUCCCGCGUAUGAGUCGGGCGGGUGUUGGCGAGCUGUGCGGCGUGCUGCCUUACCGCCCUCUGGUGCCCUGUGGGGGCUCGGGCGUGCAGGCGGGUGGCGUCUGCCGCGCUAAGGGAGGGAAGAAGGGAGCCGGGAGAGCUGUUGCUGGGGUGGUUAUCAAACUGCGGAGGAGCUUUGAUCUGGGAGCAGGGACCUUUACUGAUCGAUGCCGUAUUAAUAGCAGCCCUUGAAGAUUGCUCUGUACAUUGGCUUGUAAAUCCAGCUCCUUCUCUGCACCGUUUGGUACCAAGUGCCUUAAUGAAAUCCAGGAAAGAAGUUGUUUAAACCUGCUUUUAUCCUCCAAAUCUGGAAGAAGAACAACUCAAGGGUACUGCAUGGGUUUCUAAUGAGGCUAGUGUUCAUGGCAUGCCAUGUGGCUAGGAAAUGUGUGACUAAAUGUGUAGUUUAACCCUAAAUUUAUACAACUAAUUCAGAAUGAUGACUCUUCAAAGAUUAUCAUCAGAGUUGAGCAUUGUAAUAAAAGUUCUGUAUCACUGCAGACACCCCAAAUGAUGUCUGCUCACCUCAGGUUCAUCACUGCAGUAUUGGAGUUCCUUCCACAGGUUUAGAGUCUUUUCUCCUUGAAAUUUUAGCGUAUCUGCAUAUAAUACUCAUUAACAAAUGUAAAUUCAGCUUCAUUGUGGAGUUAGCUACCUGUAUUUCAUGCUUAUCCAUCACUUGGAAAUAAUAGCUCUUUAGCAACCCACUGAGCUCAGCGUGCUUAAGGUGCUGCGGUGGGAGCGAGCUGACUCAGAACACUGGGAAAGGACUUGCUGUUGUCAAGAAGAUCCAUGACUUACAUUCAUUUACCGAUGACAGUAAUUUCAGGCACGUGGGUAUCGUUGAGUGAAGACUUACGUGUCUCCACCCGUAUGAAGCAAUCCUCUGUUAGACCAUGCCAAAAAGUUUCUGAGUGUACUGAGAACUCUCCUGACACCCCUCUAUUAGUGAACCAGCUCCGCAAGGAAAAAUAGUUCACUGCACUCAAGGGACUCUGAAAGCAGUCUCACCUGUGCACUUUUUUAGCAAGAAAAAGAACCGUGUCUUCAGAAUCCAUGGUUAGUGACAAGUGAACGAUUUCCAAACGUGACAGGCUUGAAAUGCUGCAUUUCCACACCUGAUGAAGAAGCUGCUAUGUUUUGAAUAUAUUAUUUACAUUUUCAUGACAAUUUGUGACCGAGAGGAGAGAGAGAAUAUAGAUAGAGCCAUGCAAAAACAAAAUUUGCAGUUAAAUCAUGUUCGUGCUUCACUGAUCCAUUUCUGCCUUAUAUUUAACUAGGCUGGACUCCUGGCUGGAGACAGCGUGCUAACACUGAUAAAAAUAAUUAAGGUUUAUGGCCUAGAAAGGCGGGUAGAUGUGACGUGAUCGGUUCUAAAUGCUGCUGGGAACGUUGCACACAGGAAAAUUUCCAUUAAACCUGGAAUACCGCCCCCAUGCUUGAGCUUGGAGGAACAGUGACGACUCUUUAUUUGCCAAAGGGUGUAUGGCUUCGUUAUUAAAACCUGCGCUGGAGUUCAGUACCUCUUCUCCCUCCUGUCGGGCCGUCGUUUCGCCUCUCGGCGCAGUUCGGAAGGCCGCCGCCGCCACCUAGUGACAGCUCUGCGCACUGUGACAGCCCUGCACGCAGUGACAGCCCUGCACACAGUGACGGCCUUGUACGUACUGGCACCGAGACCUGCGGCGAUACACUGCUCUGGUCCCCACGUGCGGUGUGUGAGCACCUGGAGAGGACUUCUCCUUCCUCUGUGUGUUUGGAGGAUGCGCUCAUGGAAAUCUUCCACUCUAACACACGGUGGUAAAACCGUUUCUAAAGCCUAGGAUUGAGCAAAGCGUUUCUGAGACAGGACAAGAGGUAACGACCAUACACUGCACCAGGGGAGGUUCAGGUUGGAUAUCAGGAAACAUUUCUUCUCAGAAAGAGUGGUGAGGCAUUGGAACGGGCUGCCCAGGGAGGUGGUGGAGUCACUAUUCCUGGAGGUGUUCAAAGAACAUAUAGGAGUGGCACUGAGAGACAUAGUUUAAUGGGCAUGGGUGAGUGGCUGGACUAGAUCUGUUUACUGGUCUUUUCCAAAUGUAAUGUGCAAAGAGAGAGCCUAAAAGAAAUUGAAACAACAUUUAAAAAGAAAAAAAAAAUCUUUACAGGCAGAAGCAUGUGGGAGAGGUGGACAUAUAAAAGGUCCAGCUUAGAGGCUGUAAAGGAAAUUUAAUCAAAUAAUAAAAGCUGUCUUGGCCAUAUAAAGAAAAAUUAAGAGAAAUGGAUGUCUUACAUAUUGUAGGUGUUGGCAUUAAAAUGAAUCUAGGCACUGCCCCAAACUAUUUGUCUCAGCUUUGGUAAUGAUACUGGCAUUAUACACAGAAGCAAAAUCAAAACAGUGAAUGUGAGUGGGUGUGGAAACAGAUGUUAUUACAGGCAAGGUAAAAGCAAAGUGCAAAGAGCUCAGCUCUUGAGGAGGCUCAGAAACAGAGAUAAUAAAGCUCAUGAUAAGAGUUUUAAUGCAUUUGCUGAAACAGUUGCAAUGCCAUGUGAUUAAACAUUAGACAUUGAAGUAAGUUUCUUUUUCCCAAGGAAAAAAGGGAUCCAUAAAAAUAUGUUAUUUUGCUGCAUGCAAGGGUUAAAUAUUGCAUGAAAGAAACAGAGAUAUGAAAGGAUACAAAAUGCGAGAAACAGUUACUAAAGACAGAUUUUGCCAAAUUAACUUGGGAUUUUCUUUGAUGAAAUAUGAGAUUUUUUUUUUAAAGGAGUGACAGAACAAAGAGCAAUGGCCUAAAACUUGAACACAGGAAGUUCCAUACUAACAUGUGGCGGAACUUCUUUAUGGCAAGGGUGAUGGAGCAUUGGAACAGGUUGCCCAGAGAGGUUGUGAGGUCUCUUUCUAUGGAGAUAUUCAAGACCCAUCUGGAUACCUACAUGUGCAAACUAUUGUAGGGUACCUGCUUUAGCAGGGGGGUUGCACUCAAUGGUCUCUUGAGGUCCCUUCCCAUCCCUGUGAUUCUGUGAUUCUAUGAACUGCAGCAAAGCAAAUCCAUAUGGAUCUCAGGAAAGUGUUCGACAUGGUGUGUCAGCGUGGUGAUACUGGAAAAACAGAGGGAAGAAACCAGCUAAAGAGUUGUACUUACAGGAGAAGGCUCAGGCUAUAGAAAGAAGAGUUUUGUGGCUGUGGAGUGCAUAGGGAUUGACUGCAUUUAUCUUUAUGGUAAGUAUUUUGUCCAAUAAAGUAACAAAUAAAUAAAAAUAGAAGUGAUUAAUGAAAUAUGCUGGUGACACAAAGACAAUGACUUUAAAGCACAGGAGGACUGAACUGCCAUAAAGUGGAGGUGCAAGGAACAGAAGUCUAAAAUAACAAAGGCAAGGAACUUAGUGACCAGCAAGGUUUUAUUGAGGAAGUACAGGUGCAUCAGCUGCUGACAAAAGGUGAAGAGCUGGCUGUUUUAGUCAAUUAUCCAUUGCAGGAUAUCUAAAGACCACUACUUAUGAAAAGCGAAAACACACCUAUGUAUCUAUAAGACAAGAUCAAUGAUCUGAGAAGGAUUUUAGUACUGAGUUGCCUUUCCAGCUUCGCCCAAGUAUUUGCAGUACAAACCACACAUGAACAAGCAAUACAUUGACACAUAUGCUUAAAUUCAAGCAGAAGAUUUGUCUCAUCAAGUCUUCAGGUUUGGCAGACAGCUUGAACCAAGAGUAGAGUACAUAAUGGAACCUCUCAUUUAAAUGCAAGCAAAGCAACCCAUGCAAUGUUAAUAGAAAGAAAGAUUUUGCUGCAUUCUGUAAACCAAAUUUAACACACUGUAAUGUAAACAUAUCUAUCAGAGCAUAAAAUGAGCAAUGUCAAUAUAAUAACCAACAAGUGCCAUCAAUUUACACCCUUUUUAAGUCAGCUGGAAUGAAAACCUUGCAGUGUCGGGUCCCACCAUGUCCUUUUGUAACUCAGGUAAGCUGCAGCCGUGGCAUGCCAGGGUCACUGUUGGCCAAGCAACAGGGCUGUUUUUUGUUGAAGCAUGUGGUCAUAAUGAGUGUGUCUGUACAUAUAGCAUGUUUCAAAUGUCCACUGACACCUUUUAAUAUAUUUUUUGCAUAUUAUAUAUUGAAAUUCAACCAAAAUGUUAAAAUGAGGUGUCACAGAAUGAUAAGUAGAAUAGCAAUAAAGCUCUUCUAUCUUGUUGACAGGAAAAAUAUCAAAUUUUAAUCCCUUCAAAUGAUCUUAUUUCUCUGCCAAAUUUGAAAUCAAGAAUAAAUAUCUGAACAUGGAGUUAUCAAGGAAAGUCCUCUCUCGUGACUGUACCAAGCUCAAAACAACACAUCCCUUUCAUCAGAAGUGACCUUCUGUAUGAAUCCUCCUCUGCUUACAGAGCAAAUCCUCCAUAAAUCCCCAGCCUCUUGCAGCACUGUACUUUGUACAUGCACAGUGUAACUACUUUUAUCAUCUGCAGCUUGAAACAAUCUUCGGAGUAUGCCACUGAGCUGCAGCCUUUUCAAUGCCUCUGUUGCUUGGUGGGGAGCCUGGGUCAUAUCAUAGAAUCAUAGGAUGGCCUGGGUUGAAAAAGACCUCAAAGAUCAUCAAGUUUCAACCCCCCUGCUAUGUGCAGGGUCACCAACCACUACACCAGGCCACCCAGAGGCACAUCCAGCCUGGCCUUGAAUGCCUCCAGGGAUGAGGCAUCCACAACCUCCUUGGGCAACCUGUUCCAGUGCGUCACCACCCUCAUUCUCAUCAUGAGGGAUUUGUGAAGGCUGCAAAAUUAAAGUAAUAGGCGGGACAUGUUCAGUGUAGAUGUGGGCUGUGAGUGCAGUUGGUGGUACUUCAGAGCUAUGUGUGAACCUCAGUUAGGAAGGAAAAGCUGUCUUGAGCAGAGGCAGCAGGGGUAAUACUGCCUUCCUUCCAUCACCACCAAGCCCCUGCGUUAGGACAGAGAAAGGUGCUGGGGUCUGAUGCCAUAAGACACAUUUUGCCCUUUUGUUAUUAGCAGAUCUGAGCCUGUUCCAGUGCUGUGUGAUUCUUUCAAUACAGAAAGCACUACAUAAGAGUUGAGCUAUAUUCAGACCUCAAAAAAUGUGCCAAAAUGACUGAAGGCAACGUUUUGUGGAAAGUUCAGAGAAGAGAGAAAAUCAAAGGACCCUUAUUUUUAACCAAGAGUCCAGCAGUUUGUGUCGGCUUCCCACCUCAGACAAUGCAGCAGCCUGGUGAGAGCGAGGUAUUUUCUAUGGGCUCAGUUCCUACUAUUGUUUACAAGCCAAAUGUGAGGUUAGAUAGUAAUGGGUCAGCCCUUCGUAGUCAUGGCACAGGCAUCUCUUAGCAGUGACAUGCCUGUGUGUUAGGACAAAGAAACACAUGAGGGCAAGAGACCUACAGUCUUCUUCCUUUCACAUAAGCAUUUUGGCAAGAAAUGUUUGAGAAAAAUCAUAGAUUUUGCUGCUGAUUUUUAAAUUUUUUUUUUAACAA
ensembl:lncRNA